rnacentral:rRNA from 1 species
AUUGAACGCUGGCGGCAUGCCUUACACAUGCAAGUCGAACGGCAGCACGGGUGCUUGCACCUGGUGGCGAGUGGCGAACGGGUGAGUAAUCCAUCGGAACAUGUCCUGUAGUGGGGGAUAGCCCGGCGAAAGCCGGAUUAAUACCGCAUACGAUCUACGGAUGAAAGCGGGGGACCUUCGGGCCUCGCGCUAUAGGGUUGGCCGAUGGCUGAUUAGCUAGUUGGUGGGGUAAAGGCCUACCAAGGCGACGAUCAGUAGCUGGUCUGAGAGGACGACCAGCCACACUGGGACUGAGACACGGCCCAGACUCCUACGGGAGGCAGCAGUGGGGAAUUUUGGACAAUGGGCGAAGGCCUGAUCCAGCAAUGCCGCGUGUGUGAAGAAGGCCUUCGGGUUGUAAAGCACUUUUGUCCGGAAAGAAAUCCUUGGCCCUAAUACGGUCGGGGGAUGACGGUACCGGAAGAAUAAGCACCGGCUAACUACGUG